UUGAAUCACCAUUUCCCGUACGAUCACCGAAGUUAAGCAACGUCGAGCCUAGUCAGUACCUAGAUGGGUGACCGCUUGGGAAUGCU